rnacentral:rRNA from 1 species
GCCUAAUACAUGGCAAGUCGAACGCACUCUCGUUUAGAUUGAAGGAGCUUGCUCCUGAUUGAUAAACAUUUGAGUGAGUGGCGGACGGGUGAGUAACACGUGGGUAACCUGCCCUAAAGUGGGGGAUAACAUUUGGAAACAGAUGCUAAUACCGCAUAAAACCUAACACCGCAUGGUGUAGGGUUGAAAGAUGGUUUCGGCUAUCACUUUAGGAUGGACCCGCGGUGCAUUAGUUAGUUGGUGAGGUAAAGGCUCACCAAGACCGUGAUGCAUAGCCGACCUGAGAGGGUAAUCGGCCACACUGGGACUGAGACACGGCCCAGACUCCUACGGGAGGCAGCAGUAGGGAAUCUUCCACAAUGGACGAAAGUCUGAUGGAGCAACGCCGCGUGAGUGAAGAAGGUUUUCGGAUCGUAAAACUCUGUUGUUGGAGAAGAAUGUAUCUGAUAGUAACUGAUCAGGUAGUGACGGUAUCCAACCAGAAAGCCACGGCUAACUACGUGCCAGCAGCCGCGGUAAUACGUAGGUGGCAAGCGUUGUCCGGAUUUAUUGGGCGUAAAGCGAGCGCAGGCGGUUUCUUAAGUCUGAUGUGAAAGCCUUCGGCUCAACCGAAGAAGUGCAUCGGAAACUGGGAAACUUGAGUGCAGAAGAGGACAGUGGAACUCCAUGUGUAGCGGUGAAAUGCGUAGAUAUAUGGAAGAACACCAGUGGCGAAGGCGGCUGUCUGGUCUGUAACUGACGCUGAGGCUCGAAAGCAUGGGUAGCACACAUGAUUAUAUACCCUGGUAGUCCAUGCCGUACACGAUGAGUGCUAGGUGUUGGAGGGUUUCCGCCCUUCAGUGCCGCAGCUAACGCAUUAGGUACACCGCCUGGGGAGUGACGACCGACACGGUUGAAACUCCGAGGAUUUGACGUGGGUCCACACAACGCGGAGGAGCUUGUGGGUUAUUUCAACGCUACGCCGAUUAAACAUAACGAGGUCUUGUCUUCCUUUACCCACUGCUAAGAGGUUGACUGUUCCCUUCGGGACAAAGUGACAGGUGGUGCAU